rnacentral:rRNA from 1 species
UGCCAGCCGCCGCGGUAAGACGAACCGGACGAACGUUAUUUGGAAUUACUGGGCUUAAAGAGUCCGUAGGCGGCCAUGUAGGUCAGAUGUGAAAUCCCACAGCUCAACUGUGGAACUGCGUUUGAAACCAUAUGGCUUGAGGGAGAUAGAGGUGAGCGGAACUGAUGGUGGAGCGGUGAAAUGCGUUGAUAUCAUCAGGAACACCGGUGGCGAAAGCGGCUCACUGGAUCUCUUCUGACGCUGAGGGACGAAAGCUAGGGUAGCGAACGGGAUUAGAUA